UGGGGGAUAUUGCACAAUGGAGGAAACUCUGAUGCAGCGACGCCGCGUGAGGGAAGAAGGUCUUCGGAUUGUAAACCUCUGUCUUUGGGGACGAAGAAAGUGACGGUACCCAAAGAGGAAGCCACGGCUAACUACGUGCCAGCAGCCGCGGUAAUACGUAGGUGGCGAGCGUUGUCCGGAAUUACUGGGUGUAAAGGGUGCGUAGGCGGACUGGCAAGUUGGAUGUGAAAUCUCCGCGCUUAACGUGGAGGUUGCAUUCAAAACUGUUGGUCUUGAGUGAGGCAGAGGCCGGCGGAAUUCCAGGUGUAGCGGUGAAAUGCGUAGAGAUCGGGAGGAACACCAGUGGCGAAGGCGGCCUGCUGGGCCUUAACUGACGCUGAGGCACGAAAGCAUGGGUAGCAAACA
rnacentral:rRNA from 1 species